rnacentral:rRNA from 1 species
AUGCUGGAGGUAUCAGAAGUGCGAAUGCUGACAUAAGUAACGAUAAAGCGGGUGAAAAGCCCGCUCGCCGGAAGACCAAGGGUUCCUGUCCAACGUUAAUCGGGGCAGGGUGAGUCGACCCCUAAGGCGAGGCCGAAAGGCGUAGUCGAUGGGAAACAGGUUAAUAUUCCUGUACUUGGUGUUACUGCGAAGGGGGGACGGAGAAGGCUAUGUUGGCCGGGCGACGGUUGUCCCGGUUUAAGCGUGUAGGCUGGUUUUCCAGGCAAAUCCGGAAAAUCAAGGCUGAGGCGUGAUGACGAGGCACUACGGUGCUGAAGCAACAAAUGCCCUGCUUCCAGGAAAAGCCUCUAAGCAUCAGGUAACAUCAAAUCGUACCCCAAACCGACACAGGUGGUCAGGUAGAGAAUACCAAGGCGCUUGAGAGAACUCGGGUGAAGGAACUAGGCAAAAUGGUGCCGUAACUUCGGGAGAAGGCACGCUGAUAUGUAGGUGAAGCGACUUGCUCGUGGAGCUGAAAUCAGUCGAAGAUACCAGCUGGCUGCAACUGUUUAUUAAAAACACAGCACUGUGCAAACACGAAAGUGGACGUAUACGGUGUGACGCCUGCCCGGUGCCGGAAGGUUAAUUGAUGGGGUUAGCGGUAACGCGAAGCUCUUGAUCGAAGCCCCGGUAAACGGCGGCCGUAACUAUAACGGUCCUAAGGUAGCGAAAUUCCUUGUCGGGUAAGUUCCGACCUGCACGAAUGGCGUAAUGAUGGCCAGGCUGUCUCCACCCGAGACUCAGUGAAAUUGAACUCGCUGUGAAGAUGCAGUGUACCCGCGGCAAGACGGAAAGACCCCGUGAACCUUUACUAUAGCUUGACACUGAACAUUGAGCCUUGAUGUGUAGGAUAGGUGGGAGGCUUUGAAGUGUGGACGCCAGUCUGCAUGGAGCCGACCUUGAAAUACCACCCUUUAAUGUUUGAUGUUCUAACGUUGGCCCCUGAUCGGGGUUGCGGACAGUGUCUGGUGGGUAGUUUGACUGGGGCGGUCUCCUCCUAAAGAGUAACGGAGGAGCACGAAGGUUGGCUAAUCCUGGUCGGACAUCAGGAGGUUAGUGCAAUGGCAUAAGCCAGCUUGACUGCGAGCGUGACGGCGCGAGCAGGUGCGAAAGCAGGUCAUAGUGAUCCGGUGGUUCUGAAUGGAAGGGCCAUCGCUCAACGGAUAAAAGGUACUCCGGGGAUAACAGGCUGAUACCGCCCAAGAGUUCAUAUCGACGGCGGUGUUUGGCACCUCGAUGUCGGCUCAUCACAUCCUGGGGCUGAAGUAGGUCCCAAGGGUAUGGCUGUUCGCCAUUUAAAGUGGUACGCGAGCUGGGUUUAGAACGUCGUGAGACAGUUCGGUCCCUAUCUGCCGUGGGCGCUGGAGAACUGAGGGGGGCUGCUCCUAGUACGAGAGGACCGGAGUGGACGCAUCACUGGUGUUCGGGUUGUCAUGCCAAUGGCACUGCCCGGUAGCUAAAUGCGGAAGAGAUAAGUGCUGAAAGCAUCUAAGCACGAAACUUGCCCCGAGAUGAGUUCUCCCUGAGACUUUAAGUCUCCUGAAGGAACGUUGAAGACGACGACGUUGAUAGGCCGGGUGUGUAAGCGCAGCGAUGCGUUGAGCUAACCGGUACUAAUGAACCGUGAGGCUUAACCUU